CGGUAAUUCCAGCUCCAAUAGCGUAUAUUAAAGUUGUUGCGGUUAAAAAGCUCGUAGUCGAAUCUGUGUCCCGCGCCGCCGGUUCAUCGCUCGCGGUGUUCAACUGGCGUGUCCGCGGGACGUCCUGCCGGUGGGCGGCACGUUUACUUUGAACAAAUUAGAGUGCUUAAAGCAGGCUAAAACUUAGCCUGAAUACUGUGUGCAUGGAAUAAUGGAAUAGGACCUCGGUUCUAUUUUGUUGAUUUUCGGAACCCCGAGGUAAUGAUUAAUAGGAACGGAUGGGGGCAUUCGUAUUGCGACGUUAGAGGUGAAAUUCUUGGAUCGUCGCAAGACGGACAGAAGCGCUUUCAUUGAUCAAGAACGAAAGUUAGAGGUUCGAUAAACGAUGCCAGCUAGCGAUCCGUCGACGUUCCUCCGAUGACUCGACGGGCAGCUUCCGCGAAACCAAAGCUUUUGGGUUCCGGGGGAAGUAUGGUUGCAAAGCUGAAACUUAAAGGAAUUGACGGAAGGGCACCACCAGGAGUGCAGCCUGCGGCUUAAUUUGACUCAACACGGGAAACCUCAUCAGCCCCGGACACCGGAAGGGUUGACUGAUUGAGAGCUCUUUCUUGAUUCGGUGGGUGGUGGUGCAUGGCCGUUCUUAGUUGGUGGAGCGAUUUGUCUGGUUAAUUCCGAUAACGAACGAGACUCUAGCCUGCUAACUAGGCGUAUUUUCGACAUCUCAAAGGUCCGUCGUCCCGGCCCUCGGGUCGUGGGCGUGCGCGAUUUUUACUGUCGGCGUACUAUCAAUUCUUCUUAGAGGGACAGGUGGCUUCUAGCCGCACGAGAUUGAGCAAUAACAGGUCUGUGAUG
rnacentral:rRNA from 1 species